rnacentral:rRNA from 1 species
GACGGGGGGGGCAAGUGUUCUUCGGAAUGACUGGGCGUAAAGGGCACGUAGGCGGGACGGGAAGUCCGUGUUGAAAGACCUCGGCUCAACUGAGGGACCGGCGCGGAUACUCUUGUUCUUGAGGCAAUCAGAGGGUGAUGGAAUUCCCGGUGUAGCGGUGAGAUGCGUAGAUAUCGGGAGGAACACCAGUGGCGAAGGCGAUCACCUGGGGUUGUUCUGACGCUGAGGAGCGAAAGCUAGGGGAGCAAACAGG